UACGUAGGGGGCUAGCGUUGUCCGGAAUUAUUGGGCGUAAAGAGCUCGUAGGCGGUCUGUCGCGUCUGCUGUGAAAACUCGGGGCUAAACCCCGGGCCUGCAGUGGGUACGGGCAGACUAGAGUGCGGUAGGGGAGACUGGAAUUCCUGGUGUAGCGGUGAAAUGCGCAGAUAUCAGGAGGAACACCGGUGGCGAAGGCGGGUCUCUGGGCCGUAACUGACGCUGAGGAGCGAAAGCAUGGGGAGCGAACAGG
rnacentral:rRNA from 1 species